rnacentral:rRNA from 1 species
GACGAACGCUGGCGGCGUGCUUAACACAUGCAAGUCGAACGGUGAAGCUCCAGCUUGCUGGAGUGGAUCAGUGGCGAACGGGUGAGUAACACGUGAGCAACCUGCCCCUGACUCUGGAAUAAGCGCUGGAAACGGCGUCUAAUACUGGAUACGAGAAGGGUCCGCAUGGGCACUUUCUGGAAAGUUUUUCGGUUGGGGAUGGGCUCGCGGCCUAUCAGCUUGUUGGUGAGGUAAUGGCUCACCAAGGCGACGACGGGUAGACGGCCUGAGAGGGCGACCGGCCACACUGGGACUGAGACACGGCCCAGACUCCUACGGGAGGCAGCAGUGGGGAAUAUUGCACAAUGGGCGAAAGCCUGAUGCAGCGACGCCGCGUGAGGGAUGACGGCCUUCGGGUUGUAAACCUCUUUCAGCAGGGAAGAAGCGAAAGUGACGGUACCUGCAGAAGAAGCACCGGCUAACUACGUG